rnacentral:rRNA from 1 species
CUCGGUGACGAUACUGGAGAGGAUACACCCGUUCCCAUUCCGAAUACGGCCGUUAAGCUCUCCAAGGCCGAUGGUACUUGCGGGGCAACUCGCUGGGAGAGUAGGUAGUCGCCGGGC